rnacentral:rRNA from 1 species
GUGCCAGCAGCCGCGGUAAUACAGGGGGUGCAAGCGUUGCUCGGAAUUACUGGGCGUAAAGCGUGCGCAGGCGGUCCUGCAAGUCGGGGGUGAAAACCCGGGGCUCAACCCCGGAAUUGCCUCCGAAACUGCCGGACUUGAGUACGAGAGAGGGUUGCGGAAUUCUUGGUGUAGAGGUGAAAUUCGUAGAUAUCAGGAAGAACACCAGUGGCGAAAGCGGCAACCUGGCUCGAUACUGACGCUCAUGCACGAAAGCGUGGGGAGCAAACAGGAUUAGAUACCCCGGUAGUCC